rnacentral:rRNA from 1 species
AACGAACGCUGGCGGCAGGCCUAACACAUGCAAGUCGAACGCCCUCUUCGGAGGGAGUGGCAGACGGGUGAGGAACACGUGGGAACCUACCUAGAGGUACGGAAUAACUUCGGGAAACCGGAACUAAUACCGUAUACGCCCUCAGGGGGAAAGAUUUAUCGCCUUUAGAUGGGCCCGCGUCUGAUUAGCUUGUUGGUGAGGUAAUGGCUCACCAAGGCGACGAUCAGUAGCUGGUUUGAGAGGAUGAUCAGCCACACUGGGACUGAGACACGGCCCAGACUCCUACGGGAGGCAGCAGUGGGGAAUAUUGGACAAUGGCGCAAGCCUGAUCCAGCCAUGCCGCGUGAGUGACGAAGGCCUUAGGGUUGUAAAACUCUUUCAGUAGGGAAGAUAAUGACGGUACCUGCAGAAGAAGCCCCGGCUAACUCCGU